rnacentral:piRNA from 1 species
AUUCAUUGGCAAAUCAAAUAAUUAU